UACUCACUAACUUAAAUGCAGCCCAUACAUGUCAUUCAUACUCACUAACUUAAAUGCAGCCCAUACAUGUCAUUCAUACUCACUAACUUAAAUGCAGCCCAUACAGGUCAUUCCUACUCACUAACUUAAAUGCAGCCCAUACAGGUCAUUCAUACUCACUAACUUAAAUGCAGCUCAACAGGUCAUUCAUACUCACUAACUUACAUGCAGCCCAUACAUGUCAUUCAUACUCACUAACUUACAUGCAGCCCAUACAUGUCAUUCAUACUCACUAACUUAAAUGCAGCCCAUACAUGUCAUUCAUACUCACUAACUUACAUGCAGCCCAUACAUGUCAUUCAUACUCACUAACUUACAUGCAGCCCAUACAUGUCAUUCAUACUCACUAACUUAAAUGCAGCCCAUACAUGUCAUUCAUACUCACUAACUUACAUGCAGCCCAUACAUGUCAUUCAUACU